AACGAACGCUGGCGGCAUGCCUCAUACAUGCAAGUCGAACGAGGUCUUCGGACCUAGUGGCGCACGGGUGAGUAACAUGUGGGAAUCUACCUGAAGGUUCGGAAUAACUGCGGGAAACUGUAGCUAAUACCGGAUGUGUCUGCAAAGAGAAAGAUUUAUCGCCUUCAGAUGAGCCCGCACUAGAUUAGCUAGUUGGUGAGGUAAUUGCUCCACCAAGGCUCCGAUCUAUAGCUGAUUUGAGAGGAUGAUCAGCCACACUGGGACUGAGACACGGCCCAGACUCCUACGGGAGGCAGCAGUAGGGAAUAUUGGACAAUGGGGGAAACCCUGAUCCAGCAAUGCCGCGUGAGUGAAGAAGGCCUUCGGGUUGUAAAGCUCUUUCAUCAAUGAUGAUAAUGACAUUAGUUGAAGAAGAAGCCCCGGCUAACUUCGUGCCAGCAGCCGCGGUAAUACGAAGGGGGCUAGCGUUGUUCGGAAUCACUGGGCGUAAAGCGUAUGUAGGCGGAUCAAAAAGUUAGAUGUGAAAUCCCUGGGCUCAACCCAGGAACUGCAUUUAAAACUAGUGAUCUAGAAUUUGGUAGGGGCCAGUAGAAUUUCCAGUGUAGAGGUGAAAUUCGUAGAUAUUGGAAAGAAUACCAGUGGCGAAGGCGACUGGCUGGGCCAUUUUUGACGCUGAGAUACGAAAGCGUGGGUAGCAAACAGGAUUAGAUACCCUGGUAGUCCACGCAGUAAACGAUGAGUGCUAGUCGCUGGGACAAUAGUUUCAGUGUCGAAGCUAACGCAUUAAGCACUCCGCCUGGGAAGUACGGUCGCAAGAUUAAAACUCAAAUAAAUUGACGGGGGCCCGCACAAGCGGUGGAGCAUGUGGUUUAAUUCGAAGCAACGCGAAGAACCUUACCAGACCUUGACAUGGUAUGUUUGAAUUACAGAAUCGUAAUUCUUCAGUUCGGCUGGCAUACACACAGGUGCUGCAUGGCUGUCGUCAGCUCGUGUCGUGAGAUGUUGGGUUAAGUCCCGCAACGAGCGCAACCCUCAUUUUUAGUUGCCAUCAGGUUAAGCUGGGCACUCUAAAAAAACUGCCGGUGAUAAGCUGGAGGAAGGCGGGGAUGACGUCAAGUCCUCAUGGCCCUUACGGUCUGGGCUACACACGUGCUACAAUGGUGGUGACAGUGGGCAGCGAUACUGCAAAGUAAAGCUAAUCCCAAAAAACCAUCUCAGUUCGGAUUGGACUCUGCAACUCGAGUCCAUGAAGUUGGAAUCGCUAGUAAUCGUAGAUCAGCGUGCUACGGUGAAUACGUUCUCGGGCCUUGUACACACCGCCCGUCACGCCAUGGGAGUUGGUUUUACCUUAAGCCGGUGCGCUAACCGCAAGGAAGCAGCCGUCCACGGUAGGGUCAGCGACUGGGGCGAAGUCGUAACAAGGUAACCGUAGGGGAACCUGCGGUUGGAUCACCUCCUUUCU
rnacentral:rRNA from 1 species